rnacentral:rRNA from 1 species
GUGGGGAAUCUUGCGCAAUGGGCGAAAGCCUGACGCAGCCAUGCCGCGUGAAUGAUGAAGGUCUUAGGAUUGUAAAAUUCUUUCACCGGGGACGAUAAUGAUGGUACCCGGAGAAGAAGCUCCGGCUAACUUCGUGCCAGCAGCCGCGGUAAUACGAAGGGGGCUAGCGUUGCUCGGAAUUACUGGGCGUAAAGGGCGCGUAGGCGGACAGCUUAGUCAGAGGUGAAAGCCCAGGGCUCAACCUUGGAAUUGCCUUUGAUACUGGCUGUCUUGAGUUUGGGAGAGGUGAGUGGAACUCCGAGUGUAGAGGUGAAAUUCGUAGAUAUUCGGAAGAACACCAGUGGCGAAGGCGACUCACUGGCCCAAUACUGACGCUGAGGCGCGAAAGCGUGGGGAGCAAACAGGAUUAGAUACCCGGGUAGUCC